rnacentral:lncRNA from 1 species
CCCCAAACCUCCCAGCCACACCUAACAGUUCAGCGUCAGUCAAGAGUAAAGACCCUAGAAUACAACCAUACUGUGUAAAACUCCAAACCUGCAUAAAGAACUUUCUCUUAACUAUUUCCCUUAGGAUAAGCAGAGGACUGAGAAGUGAGAGGAGUCUUAAAUGGAACACAAGAUGAAGUCGAGGAGCUCAUUGGUCACUGGCAGAGUGCAGCUGGUUGAAAACUAGCAGACAGAUCAGUUUCGGAUAGGGAACGAGCAGAUGGUAGAGCUCAUUGAAUUUCUUUCCCCAAGGACUGAAUUGAGGAAGGAGAAGAGGAAUGAGACAGAAAAGCCACUUUGUGUGGAAUAAAAGGCAGAUGAGCUGCCACUCACAUCAUCCCUGCCCUCAGCACAGGGUUAGACAACAGUGUGGACCCAGAGGGAGAAGGAACGUCAGCCCGGGAAGGGAGCGUGAGGCCUGUGCCUCUCCCUGAAGGUGUGCCAGAAGCUUGGCAAAAGAAAUCCCAUAUAGAAACAGUGGGAGCCUGGAGAUUGUCGGGGGAGAGUGAGGUCAUUGGAGCAUUUCAGUGAUGGUAUAAAGAGAAGAAAUGUGACUAAAUCAAAAAGGGAGAUGAUGAGGAUUGUCGAUGGAAGAAAAAGAGAAAGAAAGAAAGGAAGGAAGGAAUGAAGAAAAUGGAAGUGGGGUGGUCCCUCCUUGAAAAGAUGAAAGGACAAAAGCUAAAAGAGGCUCAACAAUUGUCUGAGGUCACAAUGGUGGUGAAGUGGGAGAGCCCCUAGGCAAA